UGCCCCCUGGCCCAGCUGGUUAAGGCGUCCGACUGUUAAGGCGGCGAAUUACGAUUCGUGUCAUUAUGUAAUCGGGAGAUCGAGAGUUCGAUCCUCUCGGGGGCAG